GAUGAACGCUGGCGGCGUGCCUAAUACAUGCCAGUCGAGCGAAGCGGGGACGGGUGAGUAACACGUGGAUAAACUCCUAUAAGCCUGGGAUAACUUCGGGAAACCGGAGCUACACCUGAUACUUAUAGAUGGAUCCGCGCUGCAUUAGCUAGUUGGUAAGGUAACGGCUUACCAAGGCAACGAUGAAUAGCCGACCUGAGAGGGUGUGGGGCCACACUGGGACAGAGACACGGUCCAGACUGCUAGGGAAGGAAGCUGGAGGGAAUCGUCCGAAAAGUGCGAAAGCCGGACGGAGCAACGCCGCGUGAGUAAUGAAGGUGUUCGGAUCGUAAAACACUGUUAAUAUGUGAUCGGUACCUAUGCAGAAAGCCGAGGCUAACUACGUGCCAGCAGCCGCGGUAAUAC
rnacentral:rRNA from 1 species